ACCUGAUGAAAUUUUGAUGACGAGUCUUAUUCGGGUUUCCGAUGACGAGAACAUUACUCUUUUACCAUUCAUGCAACUCCUGAAA
rnacentral:snoRNA from 1 species